rnacentral:rRNA from 1 species
GUCAGCUCGUGUCGUGAGAUGUUGGGUUAAGUCCCGCAACGAGCGCAACCCUUGAUCUUAGUUGCCAGCAUUCAGUUGGGCACUCUAAGGUGACUGCCGGUGACAAACCGGAGGAAGGUGGGGAUGACGUCAAAUCAUCAUGCCCCUUAUGACCUGGGCUACACACGUGCUACAAUGGAUGGUACAAAGGGCUGCGAGACCGCGAGGUUUAGCCAAUCCCAUAAAACCAUUCUCAGUUCGGAUUGCAGGCUGCAACUCGCCUGCAUGAAGCUGGAAUCGCUAGUAAUCGCGGAUCAGCAUGCCGCGGU